GAGGGAUCGAGGGGUUUCUAGAGCGAUAAGAGGAGUAUAAAAGAGAGGCGUUUGAGUUCGAACCGAGUUCAGUGUAAGUUCAGCUACGGUAUAAUCAAGUUUUAGUGUUAUAUUAAUAAAUUGUUACUUCUGAUCGCACUCCUCACUAUUUUUUAUAAUUUAAACAUCCUACAUUAUUUUAUUACUUUCUCUAUUUUUUUCCUUUUAUUCUUUUCCGUUUACGAAUUAAUUCGGGUAUUUUCGAAUUAUUGUCAAACCCAUGGGAUUGACCAGAGAUACAAUGAAAUUCACGUAAUUCACUGUACUAGAAUUCAAUGCUAGAUAACACUUUCUAAUUACUAUCCUUGAUGAAAAAUUUGUAUUACACCAUACCUUUCGGAGAGUUUCAUCUUGUGGGAACCUACAAGAAAAAGUAGCUACAGACUUAUAAAAAUUAACUAAUAUUAUAAAUAUAAUAAUUUCUUUCUUUCUUUAACUUUGAUUUCAACUAUUGAUAUAAUAUGUACAACAAAUCUUUAUCUACGCAAAGAAAUAGACAUAAUU
rnacentral:lncRNA from 1 species